GGGCAAGUAACUUGUGCCACUUUAAGAGUUAGAAAAAAGGAGUGUUUUUCAGGAUCUUUAGUUCUGCUACAGAGUCAUUGUAUCAUCUCAGCUAAUUAAUUUCACCUUUUAUAUGCUUCAGUAUUUCCAUCUGUGAAUGAACUAAUGACACCUACUUAAAGGCAGCAUUGUGAAGAUUAAUUAAUUGACAUUAUUGAAGUAUCCUGAGGUGGAAAUUCUGAUGUAAGUACAAAAUAUUGUUACUGAUACUUCCUAAUUAAUCAGCUCACAGUAGCCAGCAUGUGGUAAUCAUAUUGGUCUAGAGCAAACAAACAGAACUGGAUUAUAUUUGAAAUCUGUGGUUCACUCUCUCUCUCUCUCUCAUUUCUGUUUUUACAUGUUAAAGGAACAAUCUUAUGCACUGAGUGAACACUUAUGAAGUAUCUCACGAACACCGCAUGCACAAUGAAUAUGGUUUUGUAUCGGCAAAAGCAAGCUUCUUAGUGUUCUUUGUCAUUUCCAACCGCAUCCUCCAGAAGGUAAAACAAGUCCUUGCUCAGCCUGUAGAAAGAAGAUUGGAAAGAGUUUGAUGGGAAUUACCAGAGCCUGCUGCCUCCCAGCUGCUGCCUGACUUUGAGUGUCAAGCAAUCAGAAAUACCAAGAUGUGUGGCAUUUCUUCAGUGUGGUGAAGGGCAGUUUUGUUCGCUUCUGACAGGUGGGUCAGCCAUUCUUGGAGCAGCAGACAGCUCGAAGUGUGUUAAUGGGGUAACUGCCAAAGUGUGUUAAUGGUGUAACUGCCAAAAAAUGAUCCUGAAGGCAUUCCCAAUACUUCCAAGAAUAUCAUACCAAGCAAAACCACUUCUUAUGGUCAUGUGGGACACACACAGAUCAGAGUUAGAGUUGGGCUAGCAGCUAUGCCAUGUGAUGUGAGUAAAUUACCGUCUCUCUCCUCUCAAUUUAGUCACUUAUUAAACUGGGAAAUAGUCUCAGCAUGCUGUACGAGGGUACUGGGAAGACAACUUAGCCUCAGCUAAAAGUGUGCUUAAAAUUUUGCAUUGGAGAGCAUAAUAGAAGUGUGAAGCAUCUUAUGUUAGACGCUGUGGAAUUAGCAAGCAUGGCUAAUCCCUAGCAUUCAACAAUAAUUUCUCUGUACUGGGACAGAAAUACAACACCAAUAAGAAAAGUGCAGUGGCUAGACCAAUGGCAGCUGCAAUAAAGCAGCAUUUCGAUUUGUUAGUCUCUCA
rnacentral:lncRNA from 1 species